rnacentral:piRNA from 1 species
UAUCAGAUUCUUUGAUAGGAGAGGCAGG